AUUGAACGCUGGCGGCGUGCCUAAUACAUGCAAGUCGAACGCAGUGGGGACGGGUGAGUAACACGUGGGUAACCUCCCAUCAGAGGGGAUAACACUUGGAAACAGGUGCUAAACCGAUACUGAUGGAUGGACCCGCGGUGCAUUAGCUAGUUGGUGAGGUAACGGCUCACCAAGGCCACGAAGCAUAGCAGACCUGAGAGGGGGAUCGGACACACUGGAACUGGGACACGGCCCAGAAUCCUAAGGGAGGCAGCAGUGGGGAAUCUGCGGCAAUGGACGAAAGUCUGACCGAGCAACGCAGCGUGAGUGAAGAAGGUUUUCGGAUCGUAAAACUCUGUAGUUAGAGAAGCGGUAUCUAACAAGAAAGCCACGGCUAACUACGUGCCAGCAGCCGCGGUAAUUC
rnacentral:rRNA from 1 species